rnacentral:rRNA from 1 species
UAGGGAAUCUUCCGCAAUGGGCGAAAGCCUGACGGAGCAACGCCGCGUGAGUGAUGAAGGUCUUCGGAUCGUAAAACUCUGUUAUUAGGGAAGAACAAAUGUGUAAGUAACUAUGCACGUCUUGACGGUACCUAAUCAGAAAGCCACGGCUAACUACGUGCCAGCAACCGCGGUAAUACGUAGGUGGCAAGCGUUAUCCGGAAUUAUUGGGCGUAAAGCGCGCGUAGGCGGUUUUUUAAGUCUGAUGUGAAAGCCCACGGCUCAACCGUGGAGGGUCAUUGGAAACUGGAAAACUUGAGUGCAGAAGAGGAAAGUGGAAUUCCAUGUGUAGCGGUGAAAUGCGCAGAGAUAUGGAGGAACACCAGUGGCGAAGGCGACUUUCUGGUCUGUAACUGACGCUGAUGUGCGAAAGCGUGGGGAUCAAACAGG